rnacentral:tRNA from 1 species
GCUCAUGUGGCUCAGUUGGUACAGUGAUAGCCUGACAUGCACAAAGCCCUGGAUUCCAUCCCCAGCAUUGGGUG